UUAGUGCCAGUGAUGGGUUUAAAUAUACUUUGAAUUGAUAUAAUGAAAAAGGUUAAGUCUGAGGCACCAA